AGAAGGACAAAGUGACCUCAGCAGUCCAGAUACCAGUGAGGAUGAAGAGGAAAACAUAAUUUAGAUAGAAACUGCACAAAGGACUGCGUUUAAGGAAAUGGACUUGGCAUAUAUCUGUGUAGUGUUAGUAUGCUAACUACAUUAUUAUCUGUAUGCAUCCUAUAUUGUUGAAAUGUUCAACCUGUGUCUAGAUUAUCAAGCAUGUUAUUUAGCACGUUGAUGCUCCUUAAAUAUGCACAAACAUCUCAAUAUAGGUGCAACCAUUGUAUGAUAUUAUCAGAUGUAAUAAUUGAACUGAUGUUAUAUUUGGCUAGUGUAUUCAUAAUUUGUGUAUUUAAAGUUGCUAAUGGGCAUUGUUAGCCACAUCACAAACUCACUGUUAAAACACUGCUUAUUGUGCCUUAUUGUGUUUAUGUACUUGCAUUGGUGCAGUAAUAUCGAUGUUAUGCAGUAAGGUCAUUGGUGUGUUUUACAAUGGCUUUGAACAGAGCUCAACCAAUCAGAAUAAUCAUUGAUAAUAAAGUAAGUUUUAUAAUGGGUAAGUUGAUAUGAAAUAUUGUAAGCACAUUCAUCAGGAUGACUUUGCUGACCUUGUGACCUUUAUUACCACAUUUAGGCCAAAAUGUGAAAACUCUACUUGAUUGAGUGUAUUAUAGGAUUGUGCACCAUUGAAGAUAAACAUCAUAAAUUCUUUCUUAAAUAUGGAUAAUUUGUUGGCAAUGUGUCUGUCACUAUCAGUUCUGUUCUUAUAAGCACAUUGUACAUUAAAGACUAUAGUAUGCAAAAGAAAAAUACACUACAUUUAUAUUUUAUGAUUAUACUUAUAUUGUGUAUUACUACAUUUGAUAGAUAACUUUAUUCCCUGUUCUGCUGGUGGUUUUCAAGUGAACUUCACAGUCUAGUGUUAUUAAAUUCAGCCUUAUGGCUUGAUUGACAAAUUUGCAUUUCAUGUAUUUUCACUGCUUUUAUUGUGAAAGACAAAAAAUAAAGUGUUUCUAAACAUGAG